rnacentral:lncRNA from 1 species
UUUACCUUUUCAAAACUCAAGUUUUACAUGUUUUGAAAGAAUAAUAUUUAUUACAAGUACUGAUAUACUCAAAGUGCAUAACUUAUUACAAAAGCAGGAAGGUAGAAACCCUCCAAAGCUUAUACAUAAACCUAGCUAGUCCUCCUCCAGAACUAGAAACGCUCUCCAGCCUCAGGAACAUCUAGAGUACUCCUCAUCACCUACAACAACAUGGGUUCGAAAACCCUGAGUACGGAGUGUACUUUCGCAAGUCUUACCCGACUAAGGAAAAAUGACUCUUAAGGAUAUGCUGGUUAAGUAGGAAUCAAGGAAAAGGCUUUAGCAAGAAUCAACUUAGAUACUUUUGCAGAAAUAGCUUACUAAAGUGAGUCCUUACUUUCAAUAUUUUAAUGCCAUAUUAAAUAUUAAUAGACUCUGGUAGCAUCUAGUCUAAUUUCACCAUCUCAUCAAACAACAUCAUUUUUAUUCAUAAUGUUUACAUCCUGACUUAGGUUGCAGGGCAGCGAUCAAGUCUCCACUCUCCGGGGAUAUAACGGCGAUCCGAAUCGAUUUACUCAGCUGAGGAUCUCUAACCACACGACAUAUGUAGCGCUUAACCCUUGCAUAUGUCUACCGUUCCCACGGAUCCUCCACUGCAUGAACAGGUCCGCGCCACCCGAGAGCGCACCACCCCUUUUAGGCGGUCCUUUGCCAGGAGGGUACGUGCCACUCUCGCCAUCUCUCCACUCCCAGUGCGCGAUUGUCUUUUCAUGUAUGGAAUAGCCAGGUUCAAGCUUACCCUGUCCCAUAUCCAGGGCAUGUGGCCAGUUAAGAUAGUCCUUGAUCAUACAGGCCUACAUACGCAUCCAAUCCUUAAUUAACCUGGGUAGAACAUCACUUGUUCCUAGCCCAAGUCCCGAUUUAAGUACUUCCAUCCUUAGGAUUGUUUGUGUUCCUUAGGAUGAAAAGAGCAUUAUAGGGAACUUUGCAGUAAGAUCCCACCAUGCUCCCAAUGAAAAUAUUCUUGCAGGUAGAAGCCGUCUUUCCUCAGGAUAACCCCUGAGCUAGGCCUCAAUGCAAAAGACAACCUCUAUCCACAAGAUCUGAGCAGGGCUAAGCAUUUUUGUAUAUCAUAUUUUGAUACUUCACCAGAAGUAUCUAUAAAGGUAUGGAUAUCAAGGUAGGCAAUGCAUCCAAUAAUUUCCAAGCAACUCCUAUAAACUUAAUGCUCAUUUCACUAGACUUAAAUGUAUAAAAGUCUUUUUAAAAAUACAAGGAAGGGGUAAAUGCACCGGGGCUUGCCUUUGUUGCAGAGACGGAGGUCUAAAUCCCUCUAUUAAACCCCAGUUAGAUGGCUCCCAUCACUUGAUGAGCAGGCACUGAAGCAGACUCCUCUUCAGAAACGACUUCUUGAAUUUUAUCAUCUUCUUCUGGGAAUUUCUACAUGUAAAGAUAUGAACAUAAAUGCUUAUGCUGAUGCAACUUGAAAAGAAAAUACUAAAAAGCAUCACAAGACUUACACCUCGCUAAAGGUGCACACAAAAACUAACAAAACCUUAAGAGAGCUAAAUACUCUAAUAUCACAACUCAAUUCACCAACCAAACUAGAAAACCUUGCCUCCAUAACCAACCAAGUACUUCAUUUAUGCCUUAAGCAAGGAUCCAACCUGCAUGAACUACAAGUUAUAGUGUCCAAGAAUCAGCCACAAUUCAUUGAACCUGCUUUCAGUUCUCUGAAAGCAUCUUCCAUUGCUCCAUUCCUCUCCCCUCUGUUCAAUGUCUUUUAUCUCAUAAACUCACAUGACAAGAGACCCCACUUACUUAACCAAAUCUAUUCCCUAAGUAUUGCUCUUCCACUUUGGUAUAACACUCCAAGACUGAAAAUACACAUUGCAAAUUCAGUUUUUAGGCAGCUGAAUGAAAUUCAGUCUCUGCAACUGAAAGUCCAUUUUUGGGCAGUAUUUACACCACUUUGUGUGUGGGAUCAAUCCCAACUCACCUAAAGGAUGUUGUUCUCUAACACAUGUUCUUCAAACUUGCUGUAGAAACUUUGGUUCAAAACCACCUAGAACAGGCACUACACAGCUCCAAAACUGCACUAAAAUUACUGAUUUCAGACUUUCAGUUCUGAAUAGACUAAGUCACCAACCACCUGACAGUCAAACUUUUGGCCACUUUUACUCCCAAAUUUAUGUGGAACCAGGUCCAUCUCACUUUAGCAAACUUGUUCACUUUACUAUGGUCUACAACUUUGCUAUGGAACCCUUAAUCCAAAACCCCAUGAAUCAGUCACAAUGAAUUCCAAACUAGGCAUCCUGCUGCAAUUCAGUUCUCAGAACUGAAUAAAAAUUCAGUUGUGUCCAUCCUGACAGACCAAAUUUAACCAACCUUUUCUCCAAUUUUUACACAGCAACAGACCAAACUCACAUUACCAAAGUUAUUCCUUAGAUAUAGCUCUAAUACUUUGGUGUAGUACCCCUAGGUUGAAAACAUUCAGAACAAUUUUUAUGAAGCACCAAAGUGGAGCUCAACACACUAAAACCUAGUUUCAGCCUUAUGCACUAAGUCUGGGAUCCAGAAACCUGACAGCCUAUGUUUGAGCAAAUUUCACACCUAGUUCCAGGCAACCAAUAGUGGUAGAGUUCAAGCAGUAAAUGGUGUGAGCUUCACUGACCUGUGAGGAACAAGGAACGGGCACAACACGGCCGAGACAAUCUCCACGAACCCUGGCCAUGGUGAGGUUGAAGGAUUGCUGUUGUGGUCACCAGACACAUGAGUUGGCUGUGAUGAACAAGGGCAGAUCAAUCUAGUGGCUGAGGAGGGGAGCUAAAACUGUCGUGGACACAGGAACUACAACGCACACGCAACUACUUUGGCUAGAGGUUGAGGGUAGGGGAGGAGAACUUCACUAAAUUCAGCCCCAAGGCACUGAAUAUAGGGGCAGGUGUCCCUGCACAUGGCAACCAUGCUGUGGGGAGUGUUUCCCAGUGCGCCAGCACAACAGGGGCUUACAAACGUGGCUCUCAAGUAUCAAUUUCACACUGGUUCAUCUGCACAGUUGAGACACCGAACCUGGUCCAAUAGCACAGGUACAACACAAUUAUCUAAUUAUGUCCAGUUCUGAAGACAGUAACAAACAGAUAGGGAUUUCCCUUGUGGAUAGGCUCAAUGGUGAAAACUGAUAUUUUUCUGUAGAGGGGGUGACUGAAUCUCGAGCUCCAUAUUGUCCACCCCAAGUCUAUCCCAGUUUGUGCACAUAAGUGGAGGACAGCAGGGAGAGAAGAUAUUUGUUGCACUCACAACCGAUCCAUACUGCAGUCACUGCACCUGGUCUGGUUCACAGCACCAGUCAGAGACACUGAAUUUGGUCCCUUCCCCAAAGCCAAAAUAUCCAUUUUGUCUUCUACUGCAAACAAAAGAAACGCAGCUGGGAACAUCACUUGUGGCUAAGCACAAAGUGGUCCAAUACUUGAUAUUUCUGCUGGGAUAAGGUUACUAGAUCCUGUUUUAUUUUUCUUUGUCCAGGGCAAUAGAUAAUUGUGCACCUGUGAGCAGGCACAAAUUAAUCCAAAACUAGAUACUUUCAGUUGGGAGUGAGGCUUCUAGAUAUCAGGCAUCCAUUCCAUACACAUCUCAACUUAUAAACACAAACAAGGGCGAGCAGCAGGGGAUGAUCUUGUUCAGUUUCCAAACCAAACUCUAAACGUGACUGAAACAGCCCUACUGCACCAUCUGCACCUCCCUAUUGAAGCCUUGUUAUUGCACAAAUCACCAUGGCAACAAACCCACCCCUUUCAACCAAAAGAAUUCUCCAACUACAGCUCUAUUAGUUUGUUGCAGCAGUCCAAGACCAAAAAUGAAAGGAUCAAAAGUUACAGUGCCCCAAAGUACAGCCAAUGUCACUGAAAAUUCAGUUUCAGAAAUCUGAAACAGCAUCACACCGAGUCUGACAGAGGGUUUUGUCACUCCUUUUUCUCCAAAUUAUACACAGUAACAAGUCAACCCUUUGCAUAAAAAUUGUUCCCCUUUAUAUGGACUUUUACUUUACUACAGAACUCUUAACCAAAAUCUCCAUAGAUUAAUUAUCAUAGAGCUCCAAACUGGGCAACUUGCUACCAUUCAGGGUUCAGAACUGAAUUAAAAUUCAGUUAUUAACCAACCUGACAAUCCAAUCUUUGAGCAACUAUUUCUGCACUUUUUGUAUGGGAUCAGGUUCACCACUCUAUAAGAAAGUUGUUCCACUUAUAUGGUCUUCACUUAUUCUACAAACACCACAGCACAAAACCUUAUAGAAUAGCCACAAAAGGGCUCCAAACUUGGCACCAUACAGAAAUUUUCAGAUUUCAGAACUGAACCAAAUGCAGUUAACGUACUAUCUGUCAGUCCAACCUUGAGCAAGCUUUCUCUCCAAUUUUUGUGUAGGAUCAAACCAAAGUUACUUAAGGAGACUUAUUCACCAUCAUAUGGUCUUUAAUUUCUCUAUAUAUUCUACAGCCCAACACCCUAUGUAUUAGGCACAAAUGAGUUUCAAAAUCAGCCAAAACACUGCAAUUUCAGACUUAGUGUACUGUUCUGAAUCUGAAAAUGCAAAGAUCUGUUAACCCCUCUUUGGACUACCUUUUCUGCUAGUAGCAUAUAGUUUUAGGGCUAUCACACUUAAUAAGGAUUGUUCUCCAACAGUUACUCUAAAAGUUUUAUACAGUGAGCCAUAGCCAAAUACUCCUGGAUUCCAAACUACAAAGGUCCAAAGUUUGACCAAAUUACUGAAAUUCAGAAUCUGAAUUUCACUGAGUCUGAAAUCUACAAAAUCUGACAGCUUUACUUUAGACCGGUUUUAUCCCAAGUUCCAAAUCGUUUUAGAGCUAGAUGACUUAACCAAACUUAUACUCCUCAUGUAUCUCUAUAACUUUGUUAUAAUGAUCAUCUUAAAACUGUUUAUAGAUCAAAUGUUAUGAAGGCCUAAAAAUAGCUAGUUGAUAUUAUUUUCAGCAAACUUCAAAUCUGAUUCAAAACUGAAUUAAACUUUUUAGUCCAACUUUUCCUCUAAAACUUGGAAUUCUCCAUACAUGAAAGUUGUUCAACUUCCCAAAAUCUACAACUUUGAUAUAUGGACCACUAGCAAAUUCUCUCUAGAUUUAAAACUCCACUUUUGGGCUAGUUGAGGGUUUCAAAUGUGACUUCUCAUCUAGUGAUUUAUCAACUCAAUCCAUACUCCUAAAAGACGAGUGACUCCUUAAUCUCAAAUCCAACUCUAGUAUAUGAAGCUCAUGUUCAAAGUGUCCCUAGUUUAGGAGUUGUUUUGUUUAUCCACAGUUCCAAGCAAGGUUUUCAAAUCUCACUUAAGGUUUUUAAGGUUAAUCCAGUUUCGCAAUUAAUUCUUCCACCUUUGAAAGCAAAGUUGUUCUAGGUCCUAAGUCUUACCUUUAAUACAUUAAAUUCCAAGCCAACUUAUUACUUGCUCAAGAGACGACUUCACUUCCGAUCUCUUAAGCAAAGUUCUUAAUCUGAGCCCUAUACUCUUAUACACAACACCACAUUCAUUGAAUUUUUUUUGACCUAGUGAAUGCAUUCUAGGUGCAUCAAGCAGUUAAUGCAAGUGCAGAUGAUGACAUGACAAGGUUUUAAUUAUCGUAACACCAGGGGUGUUACAGCCUUCCCCCCUAAAAAGAAAUCUCGUCCCAAGAUUUAAAACUCUAGGCUAGAUAAUGGAAAAGGAAAUGUGUCACUGGCUUAUUUCCCCAUUACUCCUACAAAGCAGGGGUGUGCCCCUAUUGGUUCAAACCAAAGACAAACUACACAAAACCUAGGACUUACAAGAACCUAGGAACUCAAGCACAUGUUCUUCCAAAUACUCCUUCGAUUCCCAUGUGGCUUCAUCUUUCGUGUGUAUUGGUUCCACUUUAUCUCGUAAAACUCGAUAACUCAUCUUUGAGUGUCCUGAUCCUUUUGAUCUAACACCUUUAUGGGAUAUUGCGAGGAGGUUAAACCUGGUUUAUGGCUAACAUCUGAAAUCUCAAUAACAUAUUUGGGGACUCGAAGACAUUUCUUUAACGGAGACACGUGGAACAUGUUGGGCACUAUUGGAAGAUCUUCUGACAAUUGUUCCUUAUAAGCCACAGGUUCACCAAAACCUUUGUUUCGAAGCUUGGUAGUCUUCAUGAACAGGAAAUGGUAGCAUAGAAAGGCAAAGACAGAUAGCAGGAAUAGGGUGGACGAAACAUGUACUAAUACUGCUACAUAGGGGGCUUAAUUUAAAAUUGUAUGUCAUGAUGCAUGCUCGACCGAUUCGUCCUCACAAUUCUUGCCAACAUAUAGUGGCGUUCAUGCUCUAUGGCGGUGGCAUACCUACACUCCGUCAUUGAAUACUAGUCGCACUUUUCUAGGGUUUAGUUAGUGUACCUGCAGAAAAUUGCAUUAUAGUUGUGGGUUAGUGGUUAGCAUCCUAAACUAAGCCACCUUAUAGUCCUUAACUUAACCAUAUACUAUUUGCACUUCGACUAUCAGGAUUUGCUCAUAUUCUUAAAUUUUUCCAAAAUAGUUUGGACUCAAAAUCCUUUUGAAAUAUAUCAAAGGAUUACUUUAAUAUCCAUGAUAAUGGGGGAUCGCUCCGAUACCAAUCUGUGGCAGCCCUCCCAAGUUAUCGGGCCCACUUGCACCAAUUCUUGCCUUGAUGGCCUCAGAUGGCUAUGCACGUGUACCAGGUAACUUAACAAGGCUAUCACGAGUUCAACAACUUGAACUCACCAUCCCAAGGAUCUCCCACCAUACAUGCAUAUUACAGUAAUCACAUUCGAUACACACACUUCGGAGAUAAAGAGCGGAAGACUUUACAAACAUUCUUUACCUUUUCAAAACUCAAGUUUUACAUGUUUUGAAAGAAUAAUAUUUAUUACAAGUACUGAUAUACUCAAAGUGCAUAACUUAUUACAAAAGCAGGAAGGUAGAAACCCUCCAAAGCUUACACAUAAACCUAGCUAGUCCUCCUCCAGAACUAGAAACGCUCUCCAGCCUCAGGAACAUCUAGAGUACUCCUCAUCACCUACAACAACAUGGGUUCGAAAACCCUGAGUACGGAGUGUACUUUCGCAAGUCUUACCCGACUAAGGAAAAAUGACUCUCAAGGAUAUGCUGGUUAAGUAGGAAUCAAGGAAAAGGCUUUAGCAAGAAUCAACUUAGAUACUUUUGCAGAAAUAGCUUACUAAAGUGAGUCCUUACUUUCAAUAUUUUAAUGCCAUAUUAAAUAUUAAUAGACUCUGGUAGCAUCUAGUCUAAUUUCACCAUCUCAUCAAACAACAUCAUUUUUAUUCAUAAUGUUUACAUCCUGACUUAGGUUGCAAGGCAGCGAUCAAGUCUCCACUCUCCGGGGAUAUAAUGGCGAUCCGAAUCGAUUUACUCAGCUGAGGAUCUCUAACCACACGACAUAUGUAGCGCUUAACCCUUGCAUAUGUCUACCGUUCCCACGGAUCCUCCACUGCAUGAACAGGUCCGCGCCACCCGAGAGAGCACCACCCCUUUUAGGCGGUCCUUUGCCAGGAGGGUACGUGCCACUCUCGCCAUCUCUCCACUCCCAGUGCGCGAUUGUCUUUUCAUGUAUGGAAUAGCCAGGUUCAAGCUUACCCUGUCCCAUAUCCAGGGCAUGUGGCCAGUUAAGAUAGUCCUUGAUCAUACAGGCCUACAUACGCAUCCAAUCCUUAAUUAACCUAGGUAGAACAUCACUUGUUCCUAGCCCAAGUCUCGAUUUAAGUACUUCCAUCCUUAGGAUUGUUUGUGUUCCUUAGGAUGAAAAGAGCAUUAUAGGGAACUUUGCAGUAAGAUCCCACCAUGCUCCCAAUGAAAAUAUUCUUGCAGGUAGAAGCCGUCUUUCCUCAGGAUAACCCCUGAGCUAGGCCUCAAUGCAAAAGACAACCUCUAUCCACAAGAUCUGAGCAGGGCUAAGCAUUUUUGUAUAUCAUAUUUUGAUACUUCACCAGAAGUAUCUAUAAAGGUAUGGAUAUCAAGGUAGGCAAUGCAUCCAAUAAUUUCCAAGCAACUCCUAUAAACUUAAUGCUCAUUUCACUAGACUUAAAUGUAUAAAAGUCUUUUUAAAAAUACAAGGAAGGGGUAAAUGCACCGGGGCUUGCCUUUGUUGCAGAGACGGAGGUCUAAAUCCCUCUAUUAAACCCCAGUUAGAUGGCUCCCAUCACUUGAUGAGCAGGCACUGAAGCAGACUCCUCUUCAGAAACGACUUCUUGAAUUUUAUCAUCUUCUUCUGGGAAUUUCUACAUGUAAAGAUAUGAACAUAAAUGCUUAUGCUGAUGCAACUUGAAAAGAAAAUACUAAAAAGCAUCACAAGACUUACACCUCGCUAAAGGUGCACACAAAAACUAACAAAACCUUAAGAGAGCUAAAUACUCUAAUAUCACAACUCAAUUCACCAACCAAACUAGAAAACCUUGCCUCCAUAACCAACCAAGUACUUCAUUUAUGCCUUAAGCAAGGAUCCAACCUGCAUGAACUACAAGUUAUAGUGUCCAAGAAUCAGCCACAAUUCAUUGAACCUGCUUUCAGUUCUCUGAAAGCAUCUUCCAUUGCUCCAUUCCUCUCCCCUCUGUUCAAUGCCUUUUAUCUCAUAAACUCACAUGACAAGAGACCCCACUUACUUAACCAAAUCUAUUCCCUAAGUAUUGCUCUUCCACUUUGGUAUAACACUCCAAGACUGAAAAUACACAUUGCAAAUUCAGUUUUUAGGCAGCUGAAUGAAAUUCAGUCUCUGCAACUGAAAGUCCAUUUUUGGGCAGUAUUUACACCACUUUGUGUGUGGGAUCAAUCCCAACUCACCUAAAGGAUGUUGUUCUCUAACACAUGUUCUUCAAACUUGCUGUAGAAACUUUGGUUCAAAACCACCUAGAACAGGCACUACACAGCUCCAAAACUGCACUAAAAUUACUGAUUUCAGACUUUCAGUUCUGAAUAGACUAAGUCACCAACCACCUGACAGUCAAACUUUUGGCCACUUUUACUCCCAAAUUUAUGUGGAACCAGGUCCAUCUCACUUUAGCAAACUUGUUCACUUUACUAUGGUCUACAACUUUGCUAUGGAACCCUUAAUCCAAAACCCCAUGAAUCAGUCACAAUGAAUUUCAAACUAGGCAUCCUGCUGCAAUUCAGUUCUCAGAACUGAAUAAAAAUUCAGUUGUGUCCAUCCUGACAGACCAAAUUUAACCAACCUUUUCUCCAAUUUUUACACAGCAACAGACCAAACUCACAUUACCAAAGUUAUUCCUUAGAUAUAGCUCUAAUACUUUGGUGUAGUACCCCUAGGUUGAAAACAUUCACAACAAUUUUUAUGAAGCACCAAAGUGGAGCUCAACACACUAAAACCUAGUUUCAGCCUUAUGCACUAAGUCUGGGAUCCAGAAACCUGACAGCCUAUGUUUGAGCAAAUUUCACACCUAGUUCCAGGCAACCAAUAGUGGUAGAGUUCAAGCAGUAAAUGGUGUGAUCUUCACUGACCUGUGAGGAACAAGGAACGGGCACAACACGGCCGAGACAAUCUCCACGAACCCUGGCCAUGGUGAGGUUGAAGGAUUGCUGUUGUGGUCACCAGACACAUGAGUUGGCUGUGAUGAACAAGGGCAGAUCGAUCUAGUGGCUGAGGAGGGGAGCUAAAACUGUCGUGGACACAGGAACUACAACGCACACGCAACUACUUUGGCUAGAGGUUGAGGGUAGGGGAGGAGAACUUCACUAAAUUCAGCCCCAAGGCACUGAAUAUAGGGGCAGGUGUCCCUGCACAUGGCAACCAUGCUGUGGGGAGUGUUUCCCAGUGCGCCAGCACAACAGGGGCUUACAAACGUGGCUCUCAAGUAUCAAUUUCACACUGGUUCAUCUGCACAGUUGAGACACCGAACCUGGUCCAAUAGCACAGGUACAACACAAUUAUCUAAUUAUGUCCAGUUCUGAAGACAGUAACAAACAGAUAGGGAUUUCCCUUGUGGAUAGGCUCAAUGGUGAAAACUGAUAUUUUUCUGUAGAGGGGGUGACUGAAUCUCGAGCUCCAUAUUGUCCACCCCAAGUCUAUCCCAGUUUGUGCACAUAAGUGGAGGACAGCAGGGAGAGAAGAUAUUUGUUGCACUCACAACCGAUCCAUACUGCAGUCACUGCACCUGGUCUGGUUCACAGCACCAGUCAGAGACACUGAAUUUGGUCCCUUCCCCAAAGCCAAAAUAUCCAUUUUGUCUUCUACUGCAAACAAAAGAAACGCAGCUGGGAACAUCACUUGUGGCUAAGCACAAAGUGGUCCAAUACUUGAUAUUUCUGCUGGGAUAAGGUUACUAGAUCCUGUUUUAUUUUUCUUUGUCCAGGGCAAUAGAUAAUUGUGCACCUGUGAGCAGGCACAAAUUAAUCCAAAACUAGAUACUUUCAGUUGGGAGUGAGGCUUCUAGAUAUCAGGCAUCCAUUCCAUACACAUCUCAACUUAU